GUUAUUUUUCAGCAAAAUGUCUCUCAGCGCUUUUUCCGUUAUUCUAAAACAAAAUCAACUUGUCGAGGAUAAUUAUGUGGAUUAGAAACGUAAUUUGAUGUUUGUGCUUAUUGUCGAAAAACUCAAUUUUGUGCUCGAAGAAGAAUGUCUCGAGAAACCUACUGAGACUACAGGCAAGUCCAAGAGGGGGUUGCGUAUGACAAGUGGAUCGCUGCUGACAAGAUGACUCGCUGUUAUAUUUUGGCAUCCAUGUCAAAUGUGUUACAGCAAAAGCUGAAAGUCAGGAGACCUCUUAUGACAUACUAGAAAGCCUGAAGGGCAUGUUUGGACAUCAAAGUAGGAGAGCUCGCUUUGAGGCCAUUCUUACCUUGCAGAACAUCCGCAUGAAACCCGGAAUGCCUGUGAAGGAUCAUAUGUUGACUAUGAUUGCAGACUUCAAUGUGGCGGAGAAUUUGGGUGCAACUAUUGAACAGGAAACUCAAGUUGAUAUGCUAUUGAAUUCUUCAUCUGAUAUGUUUUCACAGUUUAGACUAUCACUUGCACAAGAUAAAUAUGUCAUUAACUGAGUUGAUGAAUGAGUUGCAAAAUGUGGAAAGUAGUCUCAAGGGUAAGGGUGGUCAUGCUCAUACGACAAUUGCUAGCUCCUUUGGCUCUAAGCCAAAAGGUGGAAUUAGAAAGAAGAGGAAGAGAUCUAACAAGAAGUCAGGAAGCAACAAAAAGCCCAAAUCAGAUGGAACGCCGAAUGGCAUGUGUUUCCACUGUGGUCGCAAAAGGCACUGGAAGAAAGAUUGCCCUGAUGCACUAGCUAAAAAGUUGGGUGUUGGUGAGUUUUUUAUUGCUGAGUCAUGUUUGAUGGUUGAUUCUACAAAUUCCUGGGUUAUAGACUCUAGAGCCACUAAUUAUAUAUGCAUGUCAUGCAGGUGCUUUAGGAAAGCAGAAGACUCAGUGAGGGCCAGUUUAAAAUUACAAUCGGCAUAGGAGCUAUAGUUUCAGCAAGAGCAGUAGGAGUAGUUUGCUUUUAUUUCGAUAGUGGUAGGCGUUUAACUCUUAAAGACUGUUAUUAUGUCCCACAGAUGAAGCGAAAUUUGAUUUCUGUUUCUUGUUUAAUAGGAC
rnacentral:lncRNA from 1 species